rnacentral:rRNA from 1 species
GACGAACGCUGGCGGCGUGCUUAACACAUGCAAGUCGAACGAAGUGGCGAACGGGUGAGUAACGCGUAAUCAACCUGCUCUUCAGAGGGGGACAACAGUUGGAAACGACUGCUAAUACCGUAUACUGUAGGUGGGGAUUGCGUCUGAUUAGCUAGUUGGAGGGGUCACGGCCCACCAAGGCGAUGCUCAGUAGCCGGACUGAGAGGAGUAACAGCCACAUUGGGACAGAGACACGGCCCAAACGCCUACGGGAGGCAGCAGUGGGGAAUCGUCCGCAAUGGACGAAAAUCUGACGGAGCAACGCCGCGUGAGUGAUGACGGCCUUCGGGUUGUAAAGCUCUGUUAAUCGGUACGCGGUACCGGAAUAGAAAGCCACGGCUAACUACGUGCCAGCAGCCGCGGUAAUUC